AUGGAGGAGCGAUCUAGAUUGUUGGAUUGGGAGAAGCACCUGUUCUUAUUGGACACAACUAUCCUCAAUGAGGCGCAAAAGGAGUAUGUUAAUCUUUCCCGUGAAGAAGUCUUGAUCCAAAAAAGAGCCAUGAUUCGCGCCAUGGAUGGCGGUGGCCUUGGCGGCCUGGGAGGCAUGGGUGUCUUCGGAGCUACCAUGCGCGGCAUGGGUGCCAUGUGUGGCUUUGGAGCUACCAUGGAGACCAUGGGAGGCAUGGGUGGCUUUGCAACACCUCCGGGCGCCAUGGCCGGCAUGGGAGGCAUGAGUUUUGCGUCUCUCAUGGGAGGCAUGGGUGCACCUCCGGCUGCCAUGGGUGGAAUGUCUUCCGGUGUGCCUCAGACACCUUCCCAUGAAGAUGUCGUUAAAGAUCUUGCCAACACCGUCCGAGCUUCACGUGAUGCGGCGGGCGACAAUGAUGAAGAGGAGGAGGAAGAAUCGUCUUCGGAGGAGUCGGAUGAAUCAGAGGAAGAUGAGGACGAAGACGAGGACGAGCUUGAUUGUUGA
rnacentral:rRNA from 1 species